ensembl:lncRNA
AAGAGGGAGAGAAGGUCGGGAGGGAAGGACACAAAGAUGCCAAAACAAACAAACAAGGCUGAAGACAAGAAAGAGGAGAAUACAGAAGAAUCACAGAAAGAACCAACAAAGACAAUCAAUGACAUAGGUGGACCCCAACAACACACAACAGGUACAAACCACCCCAGUGAGCAGUAGCCUUUCCUGGAAGAGAGAGGCUCACCAGAGGGCCGGUCUAUGGAGGAUGCCGCAGCACUACUGAGCCAAGUCACAAUGCAGGAUAGAGAUCCAGUCACGGUUACAUCUUCUGUACUAACAACCGUCAACACAGUGCGUGUACAGAAUCAAGAUCCAGCUCCAACUCCCAACCCUCAGUGGGACUCAACCCCAGCACAGCCCACCCAGCCGGGCCUCAGGAUCACCCAGGUGGGCAUGAGCAGGAGGGGGGCCCAGGGGCUCCUCAAGGGCCACGAAACUACUCCAAAACCUGGCUCGGUCUGACUGAACCUUCUAGAAGUCCUAUGGAGUUCCUUCGACGAAUGGUGGACUGAGGAGACUAUGAAGUUCCUAUAUGGCCCAGACCACUUUAAUAAAACAACAGUAGAAACGAAGAAGAAAAAGGAGGAGGAGGAAGAAGAACUGGAUGAAGAUAAGCUGGAGGAUGUUGUAGAAGGGGUUGGGGAUGGAGGGGACGGCGGGUCCCCAGAGGGUCAGGGAGUUCUACAAAGGGGAGCCCACUGGGUGUCAGGGAAAUGGGCCCUGAGACUCAGAGGACCAGGGUGGUUGGUUGAUUCCCAUGCCUAGCACCUCAUACAGAAACACAUAAUGGUUGAGAAGCUCACUAGAGGGUGUGUGUGUCUGUAUGAAAAUGCUGCUACGGUUUUCAAAGUUCAAAAAACUGUUUUAUGCAAUGGAAAUGUGGUCACUGAUGUGCUGAUAGUUGACAACCAGCAAUAUUACAGAAGCAUUGGUAAGUACUAGCUCGGUCUUGUUGAACUUCGCAUCUCAGCAACUUAAGAAAUUAAAUCAAGUUCUGUGUAUAUGUGUGUGUAUUUAUAUGUCCGGUUUUCCUCAUCUGGGGAAACGUCUCACCAUGACUGACAUCUCCAGUGACCACAUCAGCCUGGUCAGGACCUUCAGGUCAGUGCCAAUGUCAACUCUGAGAGUUAAAGGGCCAAUCCUUAAUUGAAACAAUAAAAAAUGCCUCCCCACCUCUGUUUUGGUAAAAAGCUGAAGGAUGGGCCUGGAGAAAUGUAACUCUUCUCAAAUUCAUAGACAGAGCUAUGGAUGCAAGGCCUGAGCGUCCUAGAUUAGAGUUUCAAGCAUGUUUUGAGGCAAUACAGUGUUUGUUUAUAUUUGAAAUCUAAUUGUAUUGGUCGCAUACACAUAUUUAGCAGAUGCUACUGAAGAUGUAGCUAAAUGCUUGUUUACUAACAUUGGAGUGAAACAAGCUUAUAUUUUGGGUUCUGAUGGGGUAUGACAUUUGAACUUAGCUAAUAAAGCAAUUUCUAAGUUAUAUUCUUCAAGAAUCAAUGGGUAUGUAUCAUUAAUUUAUAAGUACAAAAAUGGAUGUAUUACACCGCAGACUGCUGUUUUAACACACCAUUUCCUACUACAGUGUCCAAUACUGUCUGGGAGAGAAACUGGACAUUUUACACUCUUAUUUCAGUCAAUAUUUACCUGGUCCCGUAGUCAUAAACCAUCUUAUCUGAAGUGCUGAUCUAGAAUCAGUAUUGGCUUUUUGAUCAUAGUGAAUAAGAUUACAUGGACGGGAGACGAGGAC